CAGGCUGCAACUCGCCUGCAUGAAGUCGGAAUUGCUAGUAAUCGCAGAUCAGCAUGCUGCGGUGAAUACGUUCCCGGGCCUUGUACACACCGCCCGUCACACCAUGGGAGUCGGUAACACCCGAAGUCGGUAGCCUAACCGUAAGGAGGGCGCCGCCGAAGGUGGGAUUGAUGACUGGGGUGAAGUCGUAACAAGGUAAC
rnacentral:rRNA from 1 species